rnacentral:tRNA from 2 species
GUGGGUGAGGUGUCAGCGGAAGCACGCGACCGUGCCGAGGUCGAAGGACGGGUUCGAGUCCCGUCGCCCACUC